UAAAUACUGAUACAGGGCUCUUUUGGGUCUUGUAAUUGGAAUGAGUACAAUUUAAACCUCUUAACGAGGAACAAUUGGAGGGCAAGUCUGGUGCCAGCAGCCGCGGUAAUUCCAGCUCCAAUAGCGUAUAUUAAAGUUGUUGCAGUUAAAAAGCUCGUAGUUGAAACUUGGGCCUGGCUGGCGGGUCCGCCUCACCGCGUGCACUCGUCCGGCCGGGCCUUCCUUCUGAAGAACCUCAUGCCCUUCACUGGGCGUGCUGGGGAAUCAGGACUUUUACUUUGAAAAAAUUAGAGUGUUCAAAGCAGGCCUUUGCUCGAAUACGUUAGCAUGGAAUAAUAAAAUAGGGCGUGCGUUUCUAUUUUGUUGGUUUCUAGAGACGCCGCAAUGAUUAACAGGAACAGUCGGGGGCAUCAGUAUUCAGUUGUCAGAGGUGAAAUUCUUGGAUUUACUGAAGACUAACUACUGCGAAAGCAUUUGCCAAGGAUGUUUUCAUUAAUCAGUGAACGAAAGUUAGGGGAUCGAAGACGAUCAGAUACCGUCGUAGUCUUAACCGUAAACUAUGCCGACUAGGGAUCGGGCGAUGUUCUUUUUCUGACUCGCUCGGCACCUUACGAGAAAUCAAAGUUUUUGGGUUCUGGGGGGAUUAUGGUCGCAAGGCUGAAACUUAAAGGAUUGGACGGAAGA
rnacentral:rRNA from 1 species